rnacentral:rRNA from 1 species
CCUACGGGCGGCUGCAGUGAGGAAUCUUGGUCAAUGGACGAGAGUCUGAACCAGCCAAGUAGCGUGAAGGAUUACUGCCCUUUGGGUUGUAAACUUCUUUUAUGUGGGAAUAAAACGUUCCACGUGUGGGAUUUUGUAUGUACCAUAUGAAUAAGGAUCGGCUAACUCCGUGCCAGCAGCCGCGGUAAUACGUAGGAUCCGAGCGUUAUCCGGAUUUAUUGGGUUUAAAGGGCGCGUAGGUGGUUUGUUAAGUCAGUUGUGAAAGUUUGCGGCUCAACCGUAAAAUUGCAGAUGAAACUGGCAGUCUUGAGUACAGUAGAGGUGGGCGGAAUUCGUGGUGUAGCAGUGAAAUGCUUAGAUAUCACGAAGAACUCCGAUUGCGAAGGCAGUUCACUGGACUGCAACUGACACUGAGGCUCGAAAGUGUGGGUAUCAAACAGGAUUAGAUACCCUAGUAGUC